GCCUCCUAGGUUCAAGCAGUUCUCCUGCCUCAGCCUCCUGAGUAGCUGGGAUUACAGGCACUUGGAGAUUCACAUGCCCAACACAUCUGAUACACUUAACAACUAUGGAAACACGAGUGGAAAAUGUCUGUUUGUAGGAUCAAGAGAGAACUUUCACCAUGUAAAGACGAAGGGACAGAGAACAGGGUGAGCAGAGGAUGUUGAAAACUGAAAGCAAACAGGAAAGGACAGCAGGAAAGAAAGGCAACAGAUGAACAUUAAGCUGCCAUGCUGAGGAAUUUAUUUGCGUCUUUUACUUGGUUGAAUGCGGAGUUGUUGCACGGCAGCUUCGGCAGCAGCUAUGGCAGCCCCUGCAUCUU